CUUCCGGGGAAUGCCCCACAGCUCCCCAAAACUGCAGAGCGCCUCCAAAGAAAAGGGAGGUGAUCGGGAGAGUCUCUUCAGCCGAGCAACGAGCAGCCCUGGGUGGCAGCAGCACCAAUUCCCGAAAGGCUGGAGCCAACUCCGGGGAUUUUGUGCAUCCCCUGGAAGCCCAAGGUCAAUCCCUGAGCACCAGCAGAGCUCCGCGUCCCUCCCGCUGCCCGGAACGGCAUCACCUCUCCUCUCCCGGCCUUCAGCGCUCCUCCUGCUCUCUCGGAGCCCAGGGAGCAUCCCCGGCUCCAAACAAACCCAUCGGGAGCCGGGAGAUCGGUGCGGGCAGAACGCAAAUAAAUAAGUGCUAAUUACUG